CCUACGGGUGGCUGCAGUGGGGAAUAUUGGACAAUGGGGGCAACCCUGAUCCAGUCAUGCCGCGUGUGUGAAGAAGGCCCUCGGGUUGUAAAGCACUUUCAGUGAGGAAGAACGCCUGGUGGUUAAUACCCAUCAGGAAAGACAUCACUCACAGAAGAAGCACCGGCUAACUCCGUGCCAGCAGCCGCGGUAAUACGGAGGGUGCGAGCGUUAAUCGGAAUUACUGGGCGUAAAGCGCGCGUAGGUGGCUUGAUAAGCCGGUUGUGAAAGCCCCGGGCUCAACCUGGGAACGGCAUCCGGAACUGUCAAGCUAGAGUGCAGGAGAGGAAGGUAGAAUUCCCGGUGUAGCGGUGAAAUGCGUAGAGAUCGGGAGGAAUACCAGUGGCGAAGGCGGCCUUCUGGACUGACACUGACACUGAGGUGCGAAAGCGUGGGUAGCAAACAGGAUUAGAUACCCUUGUAGUC
rnacentral:rRNA from 1 species